AGCAGCCGCGGUAAUUCCAGCUCCAAUAGCGUAUAUUAAAGUUGUUGCAGUUAAAAAGCUCGUAGUUGAAUUUCGGGAUUGACACAUCGGUCGUGCCUUAAGGGGUAUGAACUGGUGUAGUCAAUUUCUCACCUUCUGGAGAACCGCGAUGCCCUUAAUUGGGUGUCGCGGGGAACCAGGACCUUUACUUUGAAAAAAUUAGAGUGUUUAAAGCAGGCAUUUUGCUUGAAUACAUUAGCAUGGAAUAAUAAAAUAGGACGGCAUGAUUCUAUUUUGUUGGUUUCUAGGAUCACCGUAAUGAUUAAUAGGGAUAGUUGGGGGCAUUAGUAUUCAAUUGUCAGAGGUGAAAUUCUUGGAUUUAUUGAAGACUAACUACUGCGAAAGCAUUUGCCAAGGAUGUUUUCAUUAAUCAAGAACGAAAGUUAGGGGAUCGAAGACGAUCAGAUACCGUCGUAGUCUUAACCAUAAGCUAUGCCGACUAGGAAUCAGACGAUGUUAAUUUUUUAAUGACUCGUUUGGU
rnacentral:misc_RNA from 1 species